rnacentral:rRNA from 1 species
UACGUAGGGUGCGAGCGUUAAUCGGAAUUACUGGGCGUAAAGCGUGCGCAGGCGGUUUGUUAAGUCAGAUGUGAAAGCCCCGAGCUUAACUUGGGAACUGCGUUUGAGACUGGCAAGCUAGAGUCUGUCAGAGGGGGGUAGAAUUCCACGUGUAGCAGUGAAAUGCGUAGAGAUGUGGAGGAAUACCAAUGGCGAAGGCAGCCCCCUGGGAUAAGACUGACGCUCAUGCACGAAAGCGUGGGGAGCAAACAGGAUUAGAUACCCUGGUAGUCCACGCCCUAAACGAUGUCAACUGGUUGUUGGGCAACUUGAUUGUUCAGUAACGAAGCUAACGCGAGAAGUUGACCGCCUGGGGAGUACGGUCGCAAGGUUAAAACUCAAAGGAAUUGACGGGGACCCGCACAAGCGGUGGAUGAUGUGGAUUAAUUCGAUGCAACGCGAAAAACCUUACCUACCCUUGACAUGUACGGAAGUCUGCUGAGAGGUGGAUGUGCCUGAAAGGGAACCGUAACACAGGUGCUGCAUGGCUGUCGUUAGCUCGUGUCGUGAGAUGUUGGGUUAAGUCCCGCAACGAGCGCAACCCUUGCUAUUAAUUGCCAUCAUUGAGUUGGGCACUUUAAUAGGACUGCUGGUGAUAAACCGGAGGAAGGUGGGGAUGACGUCAAGUCCUCAUGGCCCUUAUGGGUAGGGCUUCACACGUCAUACAAUGGCCGGUACAGAGGGAUGCCAACCCGCGAGGGGGAGCCAAUCUCAGAAAGCCGGUCGUAGUCCGGAUUGUUCUCUGCAACUCGAGAGCAUGAAGUCGGAAUCGCUAGUAAUCGCGGAUCAGCAUGUCGCGGUGAAUACGUUCCCGGGUCU